rnacentral:lncRNA from 1 species
AGUGGGUUCUUUGAACAGCUUUCUCUUUUCUUAUUUCUUGCCCCACUUUCUGCUUGUAAAAAGGCCUAGAGGUAAGCAGCCCUGGACUGUUGCAGCUACUCAAGAAGGUGUGGCCUUUGCUUCCUGGCACUCAGAUGGCAGCUGACCUCUAGGUAUGCAUCAUUCACAUCUGAGACAGGAAAGAGAGGGAAGGACCAAGGGUGAGGGGCUAAAUGAAACAGCCAGUGAGGUCCACUCCCUUUCAAAAGCUGACCUGAAGCCUCAACCCAGGACAUCACUAGCACAUCUGGGUCACAUGGGCUUCUACGGUCUGGCCUGGGAAUCUAGACCCUCAUUAACUGCAUGGUACCCAUUGGGAAGUCUGUUCUAAUCCCACACUCAGAUCCAGUUGACAUUUUUGACAUGGACCAGACAUCAGAUUUGACACGUUUGAUUAUAGUUGAUACAGGGAAAUGCCUGUAUCAACUAUAAUCAGAUUUAUCAAGUCCAGCCGUGAGGCUGGACUUUGGAACCUGGGUGGGGUCUGGAGAGGGAGAGAAGGAAGGAGAGAAAUGUAGGUGGAGCAACAGUGUAACAAGGCUGGGGAAAGUUCUGAGACUGAUGGCUACUUUCUGAGGUGGUCCCCUACAGUUUCAAAGCUUCCCGGAGCUCCACCUCUGCUGAGAAACCCCUCACCGAGCUUCCCUUUCUGUCUGGUUCUGUUGAACGCAAACGACAUCUGCUUCCCACUCCCUGAAACUUCUCUUCAGGGUUCCCGUCAUUGGCUCAAGCUAUGGGAGAGGGCGUGUGAGACCCAGGCCUUCCGGAGGCUUCCAGAGUUAAAGCACUCCCACGGACAGGAGACAGAACUGCCUGUGGAGAAUUGCAUUAUAGCCAAGCGCCGGGAUAUAUAUUUAUCUGUGCCUGACAUUCUCAUCUCUUUUUAAAGGAAAAGCCACACAUUUGGCCAAAAGAUGAAGUGGAAAAAAUGUACUGUUGAACAAAUAUCCAGGAUGGUUGCUCAGAAUGUAUAAAAUGAUGAACUGUGUGGAAAAAUCAUGCCUGUGGCAAAUUGUCAGCAGGCUAUAUUUGGGGGUCCGAAUGCAGGGCCCCUGCCAACUGAGUUCACAGAGCCUUAGUGUUUUUCCACUUCUAUUUAUAGCGAUGCACACAUUCACACACAAAAAAUGCAGGGGACAUUGGACUUCGUUUUUAAAUGAUGAAAAUGUUCGAAAUGUAUCUGGUUUCAGCACGUGAGAGCCGCUCUGCUGUCUACGAUCAGCCUUGCUUACUGAAGAAGGGAUUAAUCAACGUGGGGAAAACAACGUAAUAGGAUCCUUUGGGAAUCUGAAAGUCUGAAAACAACUUUUUUCUCUAUUUCCUUUUUAAAAUGUAAUUCACUUCAACAAAACUUUAUUGAGCACCAACGAUGCAAAAUGUUGAAAUGGACAUCUGAUUGUUGUCUCUCAGCCUCCAUUCCUCCUGCCCCUUUUCCAGCAGCCAUUGCUUCUAGUUGGAGAACCACGUGUUUCCAGUGAGGGAGAUUCUUCUUUCCAGCUUCAGAUGUUGAACACAAGACCUGGCUUGGCCAAUCAGGGCAAGCCAUCCCCCUGGGCACAGUGAUUGGCUCAGGCCCACCCCGAGCUGGACCAAUCAGAGUGAAGAGUGAGACUUUGGCCAGGAAUGCUGAAACAAAGACUGAGCCUUAGUGUUGGAUUUGAAGGAAGAAGCCCCAGGAGCUGCUGAGAGCUGUUUUAUAACCAUGAGCUCAAACUUUAUAGCAAGACAAAGCCAGAAUGUUCAGGUGAAGAAGCAGAGAAUGGCUGUGUGAGUUUCCUAGGCUGUCGGAACAGAGAGCCACAAACUGGGUGUCUUCAAUCCAUACAAAUGUAAUUAUCUCACAGUUCUGGAAGCUGGAAGUCUGAAAUCAAGGUGUCAGCGGGGCUAUGCUUCCUCUAAAGCCUCUAGCCAUGUAAAAUGUGCCUCCUUCGUCUUCUCAUUCUGCCAUGAUUGUAAGUUUCCUGAGGUCUCCCCAGCCACGCUUCCUGAACAGCCUGCGGAACGGGAAUAUGGCUUGUGAACCGUACUGUCUGGGGUCCGAAUCCUGGCUCUAGUAUUUCCCAGUUGUGGAGUUUUGGGCAAGCAUGCCCUCAUCCUCCUGAGCCUCAGCAACGACACUUAUCUGACAAGGUAACACAAACAUUAACUGUUUCUCCUAGUCCAGGGGCCGGCACCUGGUAUGGGCUCAAUAAAUGGCAGUCAUUAUUAUGAGUAGAUAAUUAUAACAAUAAUAAAGUGUUAGAAAAUUCAUGAAAGUACAAGAGGCUUGAAAUUUCUAUAAACCACUCCCCAAACAUGAUAUAAUGUUUACCUACAACCCAGUUUUUCCUUUUGCACCAAAUAAAAUCCAGCUGUGCAGCUGAGAGGCAAUGAAAUUGAGAAUGAUUCUAAAUUGUUGUAAAUAUAUUUUCAAAGGAUUGUAAAUAUAUUUUCAAAGUUAAAUGUAAAAUGAGAGCCUGUUUGUAGACAACUGAGUUGGCUUGUGAUGACAUUUUUUACUAAAGCUGUCAGAGGAUCUGAAAGAAUUUUGCAAAGUACUGGACAUGAUGUUCAGCUUCUUUAGAAAGCUGAUGAGCACUAAGCAAUAUGUUGCCUUGUUGUAAAUAGCAAAUCAGUGUCAUGGUCUUUACUCUCCUUCACCAGAUUAUGUGAUCGAAUAAGUAACCACAUGUUAGGUGGAAACAAAUUGUAAAAGGCUUUUAACUAAGCAACGUUUCAAUAUUUGUUUGUUUUUUUGAGACGGUCUCUCUCUGUCACCCAGGCUGGAGUGCAGU